GCGCGAAAACUUUACAAUGCGGGCAACCGUGAUAAGGGAACCUCGAGUGCCUGUAUAUGCAGGCUGUCUGGGUGUCUAAAACACACCUAAAGAAAGGGCCGGGCAAGACCGGUGCCAGCCGCCGCGGUAAUACCGGCGGCUCGAGUGGUGGCCACUUUUAUUGGGCUUAAAGCGUUCGUAGCUGGGUUAUUAAGUCCCUUGGGAAAUCCGACGGCUUAACCGUCGGGCGUCUAAGGGAUACCGGCAAUCUUGGAACCGGGAGAGGUGAGGGGUACUUCGGGGGUAGGAGUGAAAUCCUGUAAUCCUCGAGGGACCACCUGUGGCGAAGGCGCCUCACCAGAACGGCUUCGACAGUGAGGGACGAAAGCUGGGGGAGCAAACCGGAUUAGAUACCCGGGUAGUCCCAGCCGUAAACGAUGUGCGUUAGGUGUAUCGGUGACCACGAGUCACCGAGGUGCCGAAGGGAAACCGUGAAACGUACCGCCUGGGAAGUACGGUCGCAAGGCUGAAACUUAAAGGAAUUGGCGGGGGAGCACCACAACAGGUGGAGCCUGCGGUUUAAUUGGACUCAACGCCGGAAAUCUCACCGGAUACGACAGCGGAAUGAUAGUCGGGCUGAAGACUCUGCUUGACUAGCU
rnacentral:rRNA from 1 species